rnacentral:lncRNA from 1 species
CUUUGUGAAGAUAGUUAACAUAAUAAAACUUAGCAAAAACAGUAAAAGUAUAAGAUAGUCAAGGAAAAUCAUGACCAUCAAACACAUUACUAUUCCAAAGAAAGACAAAUAUCCUAUUUAGACUCUUUAAAAUUUAAGAGUCUAUCCUAAAUUGAGGUAAAUUAAAUGGCAUCCAAUUCUUUUUUGAUCCCUAACAUCACUGAAGAGACAUCAAUUGUCAAAAUCCGGAUAUGGUGUAAAAAAAAAAUUAAGCACCUCAUGUUUGUGGUUUUACCAUCUUUGCCGCAAGUUGUUUUCUGCUUGGUAUUUAAUUAAUAUGAAGAUCCAUUUUGUUUGAUCUUUGUGAUCAAUUUAUUUGGCAUUCGUAAAUAGCAGUCAGCAGGGUUUAAGAACAUGUUCAAAAUGUGUUUUGUUAAAAUAUACUUUUUCACUCUAUUGGUCUUUUUAGACAAUGUUGU